CACGCAGUCCCUGACACACCAACGUACAUCCCGACACCAAGCGAUUGCAGUGCAGCUGGAGGUUGCAGAUGGUGAAAGAUUGUGGGGUGAAAGAAGGAACCACACUGAUGCAUACAACCACUAUGAUGAUUGUGAAGCCUGAUUUUAGGGAGAUCUUCAGCUUGUUUCAGACAAAAGAACGGCGGUUCGAUUUGCUGCAGAGGGAGCAUGAAAUGGAGAGAUGAAGCGCGCGUAGAAUCUUUUAGUUAUCGUGUCGAAAAAAUUAUGUAUUCGCUUGUCUUGUCGUGUGAACCAUUUGUGUCUUCUCGUGUGAACCGUUUGUGAUUUUUGUGAACCAUUUGCUGCCAUGUUGGUUGGUGCCAUGUAAAAUCACUUUUAUUU